rnacentral:rRNA from 1 species
AAAAAAGCAAGAAAGGGCACAUGGCGGAUGCCUUGGCUCUCGGAGGCGACGAAGGACGUGAUAAGCUGCGAUAAGCUGCGGGGAGGUGCAAAUGACCCUUGAUCCGCGGAUUUC